AACGAACGCUGGCGGCAUGCCUAACACAUGCAAGUCGAACGAGACCUUCGGGUCUAGGGGCGCACGGGUGCGUAACGCGUGGGAACCUGCCCUUAGGUUCGGAAUAACUCCCCGAAAGGGGUGCUAAUACCGGAGAAUGUCUUCGGACCAAAGAUUUAUCGCCGUUGGAUGGGCCCGCGUUGGAUUAGCUAGUUGGUAGGGUAAAAGCCUACCAAGGCGACGAUCCAUAGCUGGUCGGAGAGGAUGAUCAGCCACAAUGGGACUGAGACACGGCCCAGACUCCUACGGGAGGCAGCAGUGGGGAAUAUUGGACGAUGGGCGAAAGCCUGAUCCAGCAAUGCCGCGUGAGUGAUGAAGGCCUUAGGGUUGUAAAGCUCUUUUACCCGGGAUGAUAAUGACAGUACCGGGAGAAUAAGCUCCGGCUAACUCCGUG
rnacentral:rRNA from 1 species